CGAACGGGUGAGUAACACGUGGGCAACCUGCCCAAAAGAGGGGGAUAACACUUGGAAACAGGUGCUAAUACCGCAUAACCAUAGUUACCGCAUGGUAACUAUGUAAAAGGUGGCUAUGCUACCGCUUUUGGAUGGGCCCGCGGCGCAUUAGCUAGUUGGUGGGGUAAAGGCUUACCAAGGCAAUGAUGCGUAGCCGAACUGAGAGGUUGAUCGGCCACAUUGGGACUGAGACACGGCCCAGACUCCUACGGAAGGCAGCAG
rnacentral:rRNA from 1 species